AUUGAACGCUGGCGGCAGGCCUAACACAUGCAAGUCGAGCGGAUGAAGCGAGCUUGCUCCUGGAUUCAGCGGCGGACGGGUGAGUAAUGCCUAGGAAUCUGCCUGGUUGUGGGGGAUAACGUCCGGAAACGGGCGCUAAUACCGCAUACGUCCUGAGGGAGAAAGUGGGGGGUCUUCGGACCUCACGCUAUCAGAUGAGCCUGGGUCGGAUUAGCUAGUUGGUGGGGUAUAAGCCUCCCAAGGCGACGAUCCGUAACUGCUCUGAGAGGAGGAUCAGUGACAGUGGAGGUGAGACGCGGCACAGAGUCCUAGGGGAGGCAGCGGUGGGGAAGAGUGGAAGAUGGGCGAAAGCCUGAACCAGGCAUGCCGGGCGUGUGAAGAAAGGCUGCGGGUUGUAAAGCACUUUAAGGUGGGAAGAACGGCAGUAAGUUAAUACCUGGCUGUUUGAAGGUUACCAACAGAAAAGGCACCGGCUAACAUCGG
rnacentral:rRNA from 1 species